UAAUACAGAGGGUGCAAGCGUUAAUCGGAAUUACUGGGCGUAAAGGGCAGGUAGGUGGAUAGUAUAAGAGAGAUGUGAAAUCCCUGGGCUCAACCUAGGACGUGCAUCUGAGACUGACUAUCUAGAGUAUGGUAGAGGGAAGUGGAAUUUCCGGUGUAGCAGUGAAAUGCGUAGAUAUCGGAAGGAACACCAGUGGCGAAGGCGGCUUCCUGGACUAAUACUGACACUGAGCUGCGAAAGCGUGGGGAGCAAACAGGAUUAGAUACCCUGGUAGUCCACGCUGUAAACGAUGAGAACUAGCUGUUGGAAGAGGAAACUCUUUUAGUGGCGUAGCUAACGCGCUAAGUUCUCCGCCUGGGGAGUACGGUCGCAAGAUUA
rnacentral:rRNA from 1 species